rnacentral:rRNA from 1 species
GUUGUAGACUAAAGGGGCGCUAUCUUGGACAGGCCGAGUAUAGAUCCGUUGGAAAACGGUAUCAUAGAGGGUGAGAAUCCCGUCUGUGACUCGGAUGCACUGGCCAUGUACGUUGCGCUUCCAAAGAGUCGGGUUGUUUGGGAAUGCAGCCCAAAAUGGGUGGUAAAUUUCAUCUAAGGCUAAAUAUAGGCACGAGACCGAUAGCGAACAAGUACCAUGAGGGAAAGAUGAAAAGAACUUUGAAAAGAGAGUCAAAAAGUACGUGAAACCGUUAAAGGGGAAACGAAUGGAGYUAGCAUUUGUGCCAUGGACAAUCAGUCAGAGGGACGGUCACGGGGCUUGUAGGCAGGGACUUCUUCUCCAGCAAUGGAGGGGAGGCCAUGUCCUGCGAGCCUGUGGGGCCGGCCAGCUGGUGCACUUGCCCACGGCACAGGCCAACAUCAGUUCUGGACCGGGACAUAUGGUCCAGGGGAAGGUAGUUGCGGCGCCUCGGUGUCGUAAUGUUAUAACCCCUGGAAGGUGUGCUGGACGGGACUGAGGAGAAGCAGCGUGCAAACGUUCGGAGAGUGACCGCUGGGGUUGCAGGUUCGGGGAGACUGCAUGCAUGUCCUUCACGGGGUGUGCAGGCAGUGCCUUGGGCCGUUCAAUUUGGACCUGAAGCCUCUCGGGGCGGAGGGCCCGAAGAUCAGCAGCUUCAUACGGCGCGUACCCAGACCACACGCUUGUGAUGUUGGCGAGAAAUGGCUCCAUCCGACCCGUCUUGAAACACGGACCAAGGAGUCUAACAUAUACGCGAGUCUUUGGGUUGAAAGCCCGCAGGCGUAAUGAAAGUGAAGGCACACCCGGUGUGCUGAGGUGAGAAACUGACCCUCCGCAAGGAGGCAGCGCAGUGGCAUCAUCGACCGAUCCGGAUGGCUCUGUCCUGAAAGAUUUGAGUAAGAGCGUAUCUGUUGGGACCCGAAAGAUGGUGAACUAUGCCUGAACAGGGUGAAGUCUGAGGAAACUCAGAUGGAAGCUCGUAGCGAUUCUGACGUGCAAAUCGAUCGUCUGAUUUGGGUAUAGGGGCGAAAGACUAAUCGAACUAUCUAGUAGCUGGUUCCCUCCGAAGUUUCCCUCAGGAUAGCUGGAACUAACGACAAAUGCAGUUUUAUCAGGUAAAGCGAAUGAUUAGAGGCCUUGGGGUUGAAAUAACCUCAACCUAUUCUCAAACUUUAAAUAGGUAAGAAGCCUGGCUUGCUUAACUGAAGCCAGGCAUACUGAAUGCAAGUUCCAAGUGGGCCAUUUUUGGUAAGCAGAACUGGCGAUGCGGGAUGAACCGAACGCAAAGUUAAAGUGCCAAAGUUCACGCUCACCUAGAACCCAGAAAAGGUGUUGGCUGAUGAAGACAGCAGGACGGUGGCCAUGGAAGUCGGAACCCGCUAAGGAGUGUGUAACAACUCACCUGCCGAAUCAGCCAGCCCUGAAAAUGGAUGGCGCUCAAGCGUGACACUUAUACUUUGCCGUUGCUCUUUGUAUGAUUUACAGAGCAACGAGUAGGAGGGCGUGGAGGUCUGUGAAGCAGCUUAGGGCGUGAGCCUGAGUGAA